GCUCUAGUACGGCGAGUGAGCAGCAAUAGCUCAAAUUUGAAAUCUGGCGUCUUCGACGUCCGAGUUGUAAUUUGUAGAGGAUGCUUCUGAGUAACCACCGACCUAAGUUCCUUGGAACAGGACGUCAUAGAGGGUGAGAAUCCCGUAUGCGGUCGGAAAGGUGCUCUAUACGUAGCUCCUUCGACGAGUCGAGUUGUUUGGGAAUGCAGCUCUAAAUGGGAGGUAAAUUUCUUCUAAAGCUAAAUAUUGGGGAGAGACCGAUAGCGAACAAGUACAGUGAUGGAAAGAUGAAAAGAACUUUGAAAAGAGAGUUAAACAGUACGUGAAAUUGCCAAAAGGGAAGGGUAGGAGGUCAGAGAUGCGGCCUGGGAUUCAGCCUUGCUUUUGCUUGGUGUUUUUCCCAGAUUGCAGGCCAACGUCGGUUUUGGGCACUGGAGAAGGGUAGGAGGAACGUGGCACCUCUCGGGGUGUGUUAUAGCCUCCUACUGGAUACAGCGACCGAGACCGAGGACAGCAGCGUACUCGCAAGAGCGGGCCUUCGGGCACCUUUACGCUUAGGGCGUUGGCAUAAUGGCCCUCUACCACCCGUCUU
rnacentral:rRNA from 1 species